CCUAGGGAAUAACUCGCCGGAGCGGUUUUGUGUAGUUUCCCUUCAUCUUCCUCGGGCUUUACUGCACCGAAAAAUCGGGAAAAAAUUGGAAAAAAUUCCCCGAGGUGUCCGGAGUGUGGCGGCGGCCUCUCUCCCCGUCCAACCCCCCUCCUCCUCCCCCGGCUCCGCCCGGCACAGAGUAGGGACAGGAGACUGACCGUUACCCGGGGCAGUGAGGGUGGAGGCCGAAGCCCGCCACACACCCGUUUAUCGCGGUGUGGAAUGUACCAAAGCACUUAGCCCCCGGGGGGAAUGGGCCCGGUUAGGGGUUUAAGUCCCGGGUGUGAGGUGGAUUUAUGUUAGGUGUAAAUAAGGGGUUGGCUAGAAUAAGGUACAAUUGCUUUCUCAUAGAAUGUGUUCUUAAGGGUUUAUUUUAAAGUGGAAAGAAGAGUGAAAAAGUUGCAUAUUUCUUGUGCGUGUAAAUAAAUUGGCGUUGUUUGUUUUCUUGGCGGUGCGCACUCUAGAGUCAGUGUGUGUACUCUCCGCCGUGUUCCGCGCACCCUCCUAUCUAGCGAGCCGCGGCCCUCCUGCGCUUCCGUAACUCCUGGCUCCCCUGCAUAGAGUUGCGCCUCCGCAACAACUGGAGGGCUGCGCACACUGGUCCCUCACUGGUGUGGGAGAGACGCGGCCAAUACAAUCAUAUUCCUUAUAAUAAGCGAUACAUUAUAGUUUCUAUUUGAAGUAAGAGCCUUUUAUCGAACGAAACCAAGUUUGCUAAGAACCUGCCUGUCAUUGGCUGAUAAGGUUAAGAACUGGAAAUCUGACUCAAGGCUCCAUUAAUGAUUUAGUCAAGACUGCCUGAUGGUGAGCUGCUACAUAGGAUACGUUUCCUUCACAAAGAGAGACAUAAGACAUACUUUCUCAAGCACUGACCACUUUCUGCUGGAUUUAGAGACUGUCGGGAAUGAACUGUCAUGGGAGCUGCUAUGACACCAUUGCAAAAUCAAGUGUUUUACUGAUUAAAAGGUUCUUUAACAACCAGUCACUUAGCCAGCCCUAUAGCUUAUUCUGUUUUCCCAGCAACAGGUAAAUGUCACUGGAGUAUGCUGGAGUCCCUCCGCACAUGCAUAACUUGCCCUUGUUGGCCUGUUAGCACAUUAUUUUGGGCAACUUGCCCACAGAUAGUAUCUGCAGACAUUGGCCUGCAACAAGAAAAAAAAAAAAGUAGGCCACAAUACCUUACCAGUAUUUAAAUAAAUGCACUAAAUUAAUAAAAUAGUUUUUAGCACUGUUAACAUAAAAGGAACACACAAAUGAAUGCAGUGGUAUUUCUUUAACAGCAUGCUUAUAUCUUAUUCAUUGUCACUAGUACAGUUCUAGAAAGUUUGUUUUGUAUUUGUGUUCUAAUCAUACAAACAAGCUUGAUUAAAAGGCAGCAGGAAAGCAGGUCUUCUGAAAUUGACAUGCAUUUCUAUACAUAUAAAUAUGUAAUGCGGCUUACAGAAAUACAUAACAAAAUAUCUGGUAUAAGAAUCUUUAUACAGUGCUAGUGUGUGUGCUGUACUGUGCAUUUUACAAUACAGUGAUAGUGCAGGUAUAAAUUGAGAGCUGCAAUAAAUGGUUACUGGGAAUAUACAGUAAUAAUGUGUAACAUGGAGACACAAGGUAUAGGUUUAGAUUUUAUUGAGACCUGUGUAAUCAUAUCUAUACAAAUGUUUCAAAGGAAAAAUCUGUGCAUUUACAGUCACAGGUGAUCCUGAAGGUUUUUUUUUUUUUUUUUUUUUUUAACAGCCUCGUUUUUUUAACAGCCUUGUUAAAGGGGUUGUAAACAUACCUGUAAGACUGUCCAACAGCACCCCCUUGUUUUACUAUUGGAGUUGCUGGAAAACAUAAUUAUACAUGAAAGAAAAUUCACCAAUAAGAAUUCAUCUGACCAAAAAACUUCAUUAUAAAUGCAAAAGAAUCCACCAAUAAGUAUGCUAUUUCCCAUCACUAUACCAUGCAUAUAGCUGUUACCUUACACAUAAAGAGAGAAUUCUUAUUUUUUUCUUCAUUAUAUUACACUGGAAUAAAGGGCAGAAACAUAUUGGUAAAAGUUGUAUUGUGCAUUAUUGCUUUAAUACAACCCUGAUGUUCCUAGACUACAGCUUCCAGCAUUCCUCGCCCUUCAUUAUAUGUUACACUGUUCUGGGAUUUGUAGUCCAGCCACAGCUAAAUAGUUUGGUUGAGCGGUGCUGUGCUGCAGGUUUACAACCCCUUUAAUUACAGGAUGUUUCGUAUAUGGGAAUAAAAGGCUCCUUCUUAAACACUUUCACGGAGGGAUGGAACUUUAUUUUGGACUAGGUGGUGUUCAGUCAUUCAAUAGGCAUUUAUACCUUUUACUGCAGGUGGUCAAUCUGAUCCAGAGAGAAGGUAUAUGGAAUGGGGCGAGGCCACCUUAAUGGUUAGGAUCUUCAGAUGUAUUUUUCUUCCCAUAUAGGCAUGACAAAAGUUAACAGAUUAGAGAGGGUUUCCUGUAAAAUAAUACUGUUGGACACCCUAUUGGUAUGAGCAGCACGUUGGAUGGACCAAUGUUCAACUGAUAUAUGUAACUCAUAAUUAGCAAAACUUGCAAGAUGGUCAAAAUACACGGUGCAUUUGCCUGCAACUAUUAAACCAAAUUAAUUAUACAGUUGUUGUUGGUGUUAAAACAACUUCAUAGCUAAUACAUUUUCCCAUGAGCUUUGACUGGCACCUCUCAUUUUGCAUUUUAUGUCCAAAAGCAAUACCCUAGAUGUGAAAGUACUGAACAUUAUCCAGCAGUGAAAUAGAGCUGUACUGUAUUUUACCACCUGACACUAAAUUGGUCAGAUACAUGAAGCAGGAUAAACAGAUGGAAUGGCCCAAGUAUGAUGGCACCAGGAUGUAAGGAGUACCGCAAAUGUUUAAUGUUCUACCCACAAACACAAUCUUCCUCUCUAAAAUGAAGGCUGUUCUAAAAAUAGUACUUUCCUUUCAUGCAUCUUCGUUUUCCCUGAAUUUGUCUAAUCCUGUGGCCCCAAGUGUAAUGGCUUGUAUUAUCCGGCAGGCUUUUUUUAAUUCUCCAUCUAUCAAAGAGAAUUAGAUAUACUUUUGUGCCACAUAUUAUAACUUGCUGGCGCUAUAAAAACAUGCUCUGUGGUCUACAAGUGUGCAUAUGUGCCAA